rnacentral:rRNA from 1 species
CCUACGGGAGGCAGCAGUGAGGAAUAUUGGUCAAUGGACGAGAGUCUGAACCAGCCAAGUAGCGUGAAGGAUGACUGCCCUAUGGGUUGUAAACUUCUUUUAUAUGGGAAUAAAACGUUCCACGUGUGGGAUUUUGUAUGUACCAUAUGAAUAAGGAUCGGCUAACUCCGUGCCAGCAGCCGCGGUAAUAUGGAGGAUCCGAGCGUUAUCCGGAUUUAUUGGGUUUAAAGGGAGCGUAGGUGGAUUGUUAAGUCAGUUGUGAAAGUUUGCGGCUCAACCGUAAAAUUGCAGUUGAAACUGGCAGUCUUGAGUACAGUAGAGGUGGGCGGAAUUCGUGGUGUAGCGGUGAAAUGCUUAGAUAUCACGAAGAACUCCGAUUGCGAAGGCAGUUCACUGGACUGCAACUGACACUGAGGCUCGAAAGUGUGGGUAUCAAACAGGAUUAGAUACCCCGGUAGUC